UACAGAGGUGGCAAGCGUUGUUCGGAAUUACUGGGCGUAAAGGGCGCGUAGGCGGCCCGUCAAGUCCCGUGUGAAAGCCCCCGGCUCAACCGGGGAACGGCGCGGGAAACUAGCAGGCUUGAGUUCGGGAGAGGGAAGCGGAAUUCCGGGUGUAGCGGUGAAAUGCGUAGAUAUCGGAAGGAACAUCAGUGGCGAAAGCGGCUUCCUGGACCAGAACUGACGAUCAGGCUCGAAAGCGUGGGGAGCAAACAGG
rnacentral:rRNA from 1 species